rnacentral:lncRNA from 1 species
GAAACAAUCAAUCCCAGUAAUUGCCUUUAUGGAGAACAAGGCCCUGCGAUUAUUCAUUAACACCCUCUCUGCUGUCUCCUCUCAAACUUCUCACUCCAUAACCGCUGCCCUUAUAUCCGGGUUCAGGUAGCACCAAGGAGCAGCUGCUCAUCUCAAAUGAAGACGCUGGAGGACUCAGAGCCCCAAAGCAGACAUGAGAACGUGGGGGGAUGCCCUGGCUGAGACCCUCUUAGACACGACAAGCCUUUAGUAUGUAGAACGUGUUCCCUGCUAUCCACAAGCACGAAACUCUAUACAGACUUGACUUUCUCUCUAAUGGAGUUCCCCUGUAGAUGACAUCGAUUCUCUGAAAGAAAUCUGCUCACAAAAUCUUUCCAGUUGUAUUCUGCAGAUCUCAACAACUGAGCUGAACACAACUCCACAGACAUUUGUAAACUGCAGAAGGGAAAUCAAAUUUUUCAGUACUGCAAGUGGAAAAUAAACAAAAAAGAAGAAAAGGAGAAUUUCUUAGUAAAAUCUUCUACCAAACAUUCCCUUAAACAACUCUGUAUUCUCUGCUGAUUGCCCUCUGUAAAGUCAUUUCGAGUGGUGUUAAAAAAAUGCAAACAAUUUUAAAAUGUUAUGUUUUGUUACAGUAGAGCCACGUGUUCUAUCACCUGCUCUUUCCCCUCAAAAUGGCUGAAUUAAUUUUCUCUGAAGUCCAAAGAAGAGCUUGGGAACAGCUAGAGCAAGUGGAAACGGGAUAAUCUGAACAAACAAAACUGGCUGUUCCAAAGCUCCUGCUUCACCAGGCACUAAUUGGGGUGCUGAGAUGUAGAGGCGAGCUCUGGUCCCACACAAGGGCAGCGGUACAUCUGUGAAUAGGCUGGUUUGCAACUGGCUCGUCCAUACAACCAGUUCAUUUUCUAAAUGGAAACAAAUCCAAAUGCACAAACCCACUGCCAUCCCAACGUACUGCUGACUUUGCUGUGUGGUUGAACAGAACUGACUUUGCUUGAAAAGGAACUUACGGGUUCUGUGUCACCUGAUUCUAAAAAUAAAACACUUCCAUUACUGUU